CAUCAGCCAAGAAGCCUAGAGGAGGAGAACCACUAACCUCACAGAAGCUUGGGCCUUAACAUUACGCUUUGAAGCCUAGAAUCUUACUGAGAACCUUUUACUUAGCUCUUUCUCUCGGCCUCCUUUCCAUUUCUGCUCCGAGCAAGAGCUGCAAGAAUGAGGACAUAAUAGAAUCAUUCAACUAACCAGAAAAGAGACAAUCUUCCCAGUGGGUUCUGUGAGGAAUCUUUACAUUCCUCUCUGUAUUGCUGGAGAUCCCAGCCCUGGUGGGAGUUUUGCCUAAGGUCACAACUGCAGGUAGUGAAUUUCCUUAUCUGCUGAUACUUAAGCUACGCACAAGCAAGAAAGUCACCCAGUUUCAGGAAGAGAUUCCAUUGGUUGAAAAGAGAGCACCCAGAUGAUUUGAGAUGCUCUGUAUGGUGAUCUGCUCUUCUGGAAAUAGUGACUGAAGUCAAACUGGAAGAAAUCGCAAAUUGUUGAGUAGAUUUUACGUGGCUAUGCUGAAUCUGUGAUUCCUGAUGGAUCAACAACACAUGACCUGGAGUUGUCCAGCUGCCAGUCCAAACUCCUGCAUAAAUUAGACACACUUCCUGCAUUGACUUUGUAUAGAAUGAAGACAAGAUCCUGCAACCUAACAGGAGCAAAAUCAAGGGAACUAUGUGUGAAAUUCGCAUUGGAAAUCUCUUUUCAGAAGUGCUUUGAAGUAGAAUCUAGCUCCCAGAGGUGGAUAAUCUUAAUGUUAAUUUACUGCACCACAAUGCGCAUUAUUACAGGACAUGUGAGUGAUUCAUCCAGUGAAUGAAGAAAAAUUAUUCCAAAUGAUUAUUGAUGAGUUAAUCAAGAUAGCCACGUCAACUUUCUUUGUCCAUUAGUGUGAACAGUAUUUCACAAUCAUAAUAAUAAGAGCCAAAUGUUAAUGGCUGAGGUAAUCAGACCCUAAUGAAGAACAGUGAAAAAUACUCUCUUUAAAUAGUUUACAAUGUUCAUAAUCACUGAAGUGGUCAGUUGGUCCCACGAUUCUUCAUAUUUCAUAAUGUGUGUUUACAAAUCAGCUUCUUGUUUUAAUUUAUUUUUUCUUUUCAACACAAGACCAGAAAAAACAAGGAGCAUAAAGACCAUAAAGCUGGAUAACAGCAUCAUGAAUAAAAAUUAUCUUGUAAUGUUAGUUUGUACUAAAGAAAAAGGAUUUUAUAAAGGGGACUAGAUGACUAACAGGCCUUUGCUACCUUUAAUUUCUGUGGUUUCUAUGAUUCUACUAUUAAAAAUCAUUCUAGUUUUAAGACUUAACGCCCAUGCUUAAUCUUACCUGUGUAAGUCUUUGCAGGAUCCAGGUCUUAAUUACUAUUUUCAACCAUAAUAUUGCCCUGAUUCUGCAGACAUGCACUUGAGUAACUCUGUGCAUAUGAGAAGUCCGACUGAGUUCAGUGGGACUGCUCAUAUGAGUAAAGUUACUCAUAUGUAUAUGUGUUUGCAGUAUCAGGGUUUAUGUCUUCACUUGUGUGUUGUAUGUGUUUGUAGAAAAAAAAUUCAGCAUGUCAUACAUUAGUUCUUACAAAUCAAGUAAAGCCUCUCCUUCAAUAUUAUGUUAGAAAACACAAUAAAAAUAACCCAAUAAAAUAAAGACUAUUUCUAA